GAUGAACGCUGGCGGCGUGCCUAAUACAUGCAAGUCGAGCGAACGGACGAGAAGCUUGCUUCUCUUAUGUUAGCGGCGGACGGGUGAGUAACACGUGGAUAACCUACCUAUAAGACUGGGAUAACUUCGGGAAACCGGAGCUAAUACCGGAUAAUAUUUUGAACCGCAUGGUUCAAAAGUGAAAGACGGUCUUGCUGUCACUUAUAGAUGGAUCCGCGCUGCAUUAGCUAGUUGGUAAGGUAACGGCUUACCAAGGCAACGAUGCAUAGCCGACCUGAGAGGGUGAUCGGCCACACUGGAACUGAGACACGGUCCAGACGCCUACGGGAGGCAGCAGUAGGGAAUCUUCCGCAAUGGGCGAAAGCCUGACGGAGCAACGCCGCGUGAGUGAUGAAGGUCUUCGGAUCGUAAAACUCUGUUAUUAGGGAAGAACAUAUGUGUAAGUAAAUGUGCACAUCGUGACGGUACCUAAUCAGAAAGCCACGGCUAACUACGUG
rnacentral:rRNA from 1 species